GUGAGCGUUAGAUCCCCCCCCGAACUACAAUUCCCAGAAUGCUGUUCGAGCAUGCCCGAAGGCGGAACCAGAGUGUCGCCAUGCAACUGUUCCUUGGUUGUUUCCGAUUGGCUGCCCGGACUUCUCGCGGCUAAACUAACUUUGGCUCCAAGGCGGCGUGAAGAGUGUGAUUCUGUUCAGCGACCGUGAUUCUGUUCAGCGACCAUGAUGUUGAGCCCCUAAUUGAGAGUCUGUUACCACUAUUAAUAGCUACUCUGUUCGGGCCCUACACAUAACGGUGUAUCUAAACCUCUCUACAAUUUUAUGGACAGACUCUUGCUGUGUCGCCCAAGCUAGAGUGCAGUGGUGUCAUCUGGGCUCAUUGCAACCUCCACUUCCUGGAUUCAAGCAAUUCUCAUGCCACAGCCUCCCAAGUAGCUGGGACUACAGCUAGAAGAAUUGAAUUCUUCCAUGUAUCCUUUGCCAACUGUCAGUAGUGAAGUUUACAAUUUAUAAUUUCUGAUGGAAUCUCACUCUGUCACCCAGGCUGGAGUGCAGUGGUGCAAUCUCAGCUCACUGCAACCUCUGCCUCCCGGAUUUAAGCGAUUCUCCUGCUUCAACCUCCUGAGUAGCUGGGACGACAGGCACGCACCACCAUGCCCAGGGUCUCACUCUAUCGACCAGGCUAGAGUGCAGUGGCGUGAUCUCGGCUCAUGGCAACGUCUGCCUCCCAGGUUCAAGCAAUUAUCUCACUUCAGCCUCCUGAGUAACCGGGACUACAGGUGCUCGCCACCACACUCGGCUACUUUUUGUACUUUUUAGUAGAGACAGGGUUUCACCGUGUUGCCCAGGAACCUGUGGUGAUAAGGAAGAUGUGAGCCUGGAGAUACAGAAGCUACCACAUGAAUGUUAAAAAUGAAGCUGACACAGCAAAAGGCAGUGCCAAGGAACUGAAAGAAAACAAAUUUUGAUUACAUUUUUGGAGUUCCUGGGUCAAGCAGUUCAUGACACUGAGGCUUUUCCGCUACAUGAAUAAGUACUUUUUCUUUCCUGUUAAAGUGGGUUUGUGCUGGCUUCUGUAUCAUUCACAACAACUGGAUACUAACUGAGGCAACACUUCCUACCUCUUACACAUGUUACACCCAUAAAACAGAAACAACAUCUAAAAUUAGAUUUCAACACAACUACCAAGCAGAGAAGUUCAAAUCAACAAGUUAUGGAUAAUGUUUUAUUGAAACUACAUUUCUCCUCCCAAUGUGAGUAUGGUGUUGGCCAACAUGUUGCAUGUUGAUUCUGCUUGCCUUUGUGUCCUACAUAUAGGAUGUGUGCUGUGUAAUGAAUCGUUUCUUCAUUAUUUUUCUCAGCUUGCAUGGUUGCCUCACCUCCAUUCACAGAGCUCACUGUGACAGCAUUCAACCUUGUCUUGGUACAAGUGUGUAAUUUACAUAAUAGUCGCCUCUGUACUUUCCUCAGUAACUUAAACAAGGAAGACCAUCACUCACUGUGCUUGCCUUUCAAAUUAGAUUUGAUAUCAAAUUAAAGUCUCAUUUUAUUAAA